UGCUACAGAUAUUACAUUAAGUAACUGCUGGC
rnacentral:piRNA from 1 species